UUUCAUCUCUAUCUCUGUCUCUCCGCCUCUUUGUUAGAACGAGGGAAACAAAACUUUUCCUCACCGAACGACCCGCGAUUCUUCGUUUCUCAAAGAAACAGCAGAAGAAAAAACAGUGUUGGAGAGAAUAUAUGAACACACCGAUCUCAAAAUCAAAACAUUUUCGUUCUAAAAAGAACUAUCACCCAUCAAAACCAUUGAGAUUUCAAUAGAUUUUGGUCAUAAAUCUCAUGGCAUAAAAGCAGCGCGUUCUUGAAGAACAACAAUAAAGAUAAGUAUCUUACUUUGAGUUAUUUUGGAUUGUAAUAUUGAUCUAAUCAAGUUUUCAUCAAGAAAACAAUUUUCAGAAAUCUAUGGUUUAUAAAAAAGAAACCCUAAAAUUUGAUUUCCAUGUCGAUACUUUGAUCUAACUUUUAAUCAGAUUUUAGAUCUAUGUUCUCCUCAUCUCAAUCUAUCUUUUGAGAUAAAAAAAAAAUCAAAGAAAUUUGAAGAAUUUUUUUAUGAAAUCUCGAUCUCUCUGUCUUCAAUCUUGAUUAAAAACGAGUUUCGGAUUUAUAAUCAGCAUACUUGAAAUUCUAUCACGCAUAUCGUUGUUUUGAUUUUCAUGGAAUUCAAUUUUUCGAUCUCAUAUUGGACUUUGUACCUGUUAUUGAGAGAUUAAACGAUUUAAUAUCAAGAUAUGCUUAGCAACAUGAUUAUAUUCAACAACAGAAGCAACAUGAUUAUAUGAUAUGGAAUAUGUAUCUAAUCAGAAACUUUAAUUUUAAUCUUAUUAUCAGAAUCAAUAUUCUACUAAACAUCUAUUAGUGGUGAUAAAAGCUGAGGUACCAAAUGAAGUCUCUAAAGAGCAACAGAAGCACUCACUAGCAUCUGUGACAUGACAUUCAAAAGCAGUAAAGUUAUAGAACACUGAGCAUGGUAAAGCUUGCUAAGCAUGCACUGCCAUGAGUAGCUACAAGUUCAAUCUUGUACAUAAAGCAAUCUUGUACACAAAGCUAAGUGCAACUCUAUCUCAAUCUUGUAUCAUCUUUAAAUGUUGCCUGUAAAUGAAAAAUUUUGAAAAAUUUUCCCGAAAAAGAGAUAAUCUUGCGUAGGGUCAUUGGUUAUAUCUUGCGCUUACGACCAAGAUGAUACAGUUGAGCUUGCGCCAAGAUGAUAGGGUUGAGCUUCUUCUGAAUCAGUACAAAGCCAAUCUGAGUAGCAUUUAUUCUUAUUUGCGUUACUAUUUCUCCCUUUUUCCCCUUUAAACAAGGGGGUCACUAAGUAUGCUACCUUCCAUUUUGUCUUUGCAGCCUAAUUUGAUCUUCAACGAGGCGAAAACUACACUCCAUGCAUCCAUUCAUGUUCCAUCAUAUGUCGACUGGAGCAUUGAUGGAGUGAUGAAGCAUGUAAAGUCUGAAAAGUUCACAGAAAAGGUUCGUCACUUAAUGUCUGAAUCUCAUUUUUGUGGAGGCCUAAUGCGUAUAAUCAAGCAACUUCUUCAGGGUUCAUUGAAUGAUCAAUGAAUGACUCAAAUUCUUGGUUGAGAACUUGAGACUGAAUGUCUAUCAUUGACAGUUUUGGUUUGAUAAUGUGCAUAAGAAUUCCAUACUUGGUUGCAGUCAAAUAUAAACAUGGUGCAUGCGCUGCAUUGCUCAAACCUUCAGCUGCAAAGCUUCUUGUUUUGCCCUCACCUCUGAAAUUCAUAAGUGAGCUUAAUCUAGAUGCUAGGUUCUUCUAUAGAGGGCUCUUGUUGAAGCUAAUAAGGAUAGAGAGAAGAAUAUAUUUAAAGGAGCACCGUUUCCAUCCCCAUCUCAUUCUGAUGCUGAGAAUCUGUGCAGAAUUUCUCUGAGCAAAGAGAGGGAACACUACGAGUACAUAAUUAAUGAAGGGAAUAUUCGAAGGAGCUAAAUGGAUAUUUGUUAUGAGCACCUCUAAGAAAAUCUACGCUUGCGAGAAAAAGAAAGGGUGUUACCAUCAUUCGAGUUUUCUUGCUGGAUGAACUAACUGAGUAGCAGGAAGACUUGUUACAGAGAAUGGAGAGCUAAAGAAUGAAUCUACAAAGGAAAGACCACAGUUGAUGUUUUCGCUGAUGCUCCAAAGUUCAUUACUGGAAGAAGAGAACAACUUAGUGGACUGUUGCAUUGCAUAUAGGAUUGCCUACAUCGAGUUUUCUGAUGCCCAAGCUUUCAACAAAAGCAAGCCUGCAAAGGAUAUAAAGCUUAGUUGCGGUUAUUUGAAUGACGCUAUAUUUCAUCAGAAAUGGUGGAGAACAAAGCUGCUAAGAUUUGUAAGUUCCAUGUAUUCAAGUUUUGUAGGCAGUUAGUAAGUUUCUAUGUGUUCCCUUAGAAAUUUGGAACCUUCCAUGUAUUCCCUUAGAAAUUUGAUGCAAAAAAAAAAAAAA